UACGUAGGGGGGCUAGCGUUGUCCGGAAUCAUUGGGCGUAAAGAGCGUGUAGGCGGUUCGGUAAGUCCGCUGUGAAAGUCCAGGGCUCAACCCUGGAAUGCCAGUGGAAACUGCCGAGCUAGAGUCCGGAAGAGGCGAGUGGAAUUCCUGGUGUAGCGGUGAAAUGCGCAGAUAUCAGGAGGAACACCAAUGGCGAAAGCAGCUCGCUGGGACGGUACUGACGCUGAGACGCGAAAGCGUGGGGAGCAAACAGG
rnacentral:rRNA from 1 species